UCAACUUGCUGCGGACAGAUCCAGUGAAUAUGGGUAUCAAUUCCGCCAGCUGUUAAUAUUUGUCCUUCGCCAGCAAUGACUUCUGUAGCCGCGCCAAGUGGAAUAGUAAUAUUUGGCUGAAUAUCCGGAUUACCGGCUUUACCGAUUUUCCAGAUUCGACCAUUUUUUAAGCCUAUAUCUGCUUUAACAAUGCCCCACCAGUCGACAAUCAGCGCAUUUGUAAUGACAGUGUCAGCCACUUCAGAUGACAAAAGUUGUGAUUGACCCAUACCAUCACG
rnacentral:sRNA from 1 species